AGCAUAUUCAGAGAUCUUGAGUGGGAC
rnacentral:piRNA from 1 species